GGGUCAGAAAGGGGCUUUUGGAUCAUUUCUGACUCUAUGAUGGUGGAGAACCCAAUGUUUCGUGCCAUGAACACAACAUGACCCCACCAAAACCCAACCGCGAUCUCUCCAACGUUGGCCAUUGUCUUCGCGGAAACUCAACAUUUUCACCCAAAGUUGACCAAAAAUGGUGGAUUUUUGGGGUCAGAAUGGCACUUUUUGAUCAUUUUGAGUCUACCAUGAUGGGAAUCUCAUUAUUUAGUGCCAUACAUCCACCAUGACCCCACCAACACCCAAAGGUCCAUCNUAGGGACCCAUAGAGACCCAUAGAAAUCCUACCGAGCCCCAUAGAGCCCCAUAGAGAGACCCACUGAGACCCCAUAGAUCCCAUAGAGACCCAUAGGGACACAUAGAGACCCAUAGAGACCCACACAUUGACCCACAGAGACCCAUAGAGACCCGUAGAGACCCAUAGAGACCCAUAGAGACCCGUAGCGACCCGUAGCGACCCACUGAGACCCCACAGAUCCCAUAGAGACCCAUAGGGACCCAUAGAUCCCAUAGAGACCCAUAGAGCCCCAUAGAGCCCCAUAGAGCCCCAUAGAGACACAUAGAGCCCCAUAGAGACCCAUAGAGACCCAUAGAGACCCAUAGAAAUCCUACUGAGCCCCAUAGAGCCCCAUAGAGAGACCCAUGGAGACCCCACAGAUCCCAUAGAGACCUACAGGGACCCACAGGGACCCAUAGAGAAACAUAGGGACCCAUAGAGACCCAUAGAGACCCACUGAGACCCCAUAGAGACUCAUAGAGACCCAUAGAAAUCCGGCUGAGCCCCAUAGAGCCCCAUAGAUCCCAUAGGGACCCAUAGAGAGACCCAUGGAGACCCCACGGAUCCCAUAGGCACCCAUAGAGACCCAUAGGGACCCACUGAGACCCAUGGGGUCCUGUAGACAGACCCAUGGAGACCCCAUAGAUCCCAUAGGGACCCAUAGAGACCCAUAGCGACCCACUGAGACCCCACAGAUCCCAUAGAGACCCAUAGAAAUCCUAUUGAGCCCCAUAGAGCCCCAUGGAUUCCAUAGAGCCCCAUAGGGAGACCCAUGGAGACCCCACAGAUCCCAUAGAGACCUACAGGGACCCAUAGAGACAGACCCACAGGGACCCAUAGGGACCCAUAGAGACCCAUAGAGAGACCCAUAGAGACCCAUAGAGACCCAUAGCGAUCCACUGAGACCCCACAGAUCCCAUAGAGACCCAUAGGGACCCAUAGAUCCCAUAGAG
rnacentral:lncRNA from 1 species